GAACCUACGGGAGGAAGCAGUAGGGAAUUGUGGUAAAUGGGAGAAAGCCUGAACGAGCAAUGCCGCGUGAACGAGGAAGGUCUUCGGAUCGUAAAGUUCUGUUGAAGGGGAAAAAGAGCGGAGAGAGGAAAUGAACUCCGAUUGAUAUUACCCUUCGAGGAAGUCACGGCUAACUACGUGCCAGCAGCCGCGGUAAUACGUAGGUGGCGAGCGUUAUCCGGAAUGAUUGGGCGUAAAGGGUGCGUAGGCGGCCUGCUAAGUCUGGAGUGAAAGGUACCGGCUCAACCGGUACAGGCUCUGGAAAC
rnacentral:rRNA from 1 species